UUGACAAGCACUUUGAAAAGAGGGUGAAAAGAACCUGAAACCGUUACGGGGGAAGCGGAUUGCGUUGGAUUGACGGGCUCGUGCUGUUCAGCCGUUUUCGGUGUACUCAGUUACGAUGCUUACCUGUAGUGGGCUUCUAGCGGUCGAAUUUGGGCUACUAGGGGCUGAGGGCUCCCUUCUAGGUGAGGACGACAGGGUGACGACGCGAUACGACCCGUCUUGAAACACGGACCAAGGAGUCUAGCGCAGGUGCGAGUCGAAGGGUUUAGAAACCUGAGGGCGCAGUGAAAGCAAAAAAACUAUUUUGAAAACUUUGCAGUUUGAGGCGGCAUACAAUCGUUGAUUGUAGGUCCGACCUAGAGCAGUUGUGCUAGGACCCGAAAGAUGGUGAACUAUGCCGGAGUAGGGCGAAGCCAGAGGAAACUCUGGUGGAGGCUCGUAGCGGUGCUGACGUGCAAAUCGCUCGUCUAACUCGGGUAUAGGGGCGAAAGACUCAUCGAACCAUCUAGUAGCUGGUUCCCUCCGAAGUUUCUCUCAGGAUAGCGGGCCGACAGAUGUUGUUGUGUGC
rnacentral:rRNA from 1 species